GCAGCUUGAUUCAUUGUUAUGAUUAAUCUCUGUAGGUCUAUCGAGUAUAUUCAUUUCAACACCUCCUUAGUACACAACGAGAGGGAGUCCAGUACAAGGGGGGAGGGCUUGCUGUGACUCACGCUAGGCACGAAGGAGUUAGGAGAUAGAAGCUUUCUCUGUCAUCACCCAACCCAGUCGCCAUCAGACCACUACGAGAAGAUGCGCUGUGACUCAUGAUGAAAAGUCUAUCGAGUAUAUUCAUUUCAACACCUCCUUAGUACACAACGAGAGGGAGUCCAGUACAAGGGGGGAGGGCUUGCUGUGACUCACGCUAGGCACGAAGGAGUUAGGAGAUAGAAGCUUUCUCUGUCAUCACCCAACCCAGUCGCCAUCAGACCACUACGAGAAGAUGCGCUGUGACUCAUGAUGAAAAUGAGAGACGGGGGAAAUAAAAGGGGCCAUACCUCAGAGUGAGAGAGAGAGCCCAGCUGAAGCUUCGAGUAUGUUGGCAGCUGCCAGUCCCACUAAAUAUAGCGUUUGAGUUUUUAUAUAAAGCUUUACCAUUAUGCAGUCAAGCGAAUGUGUUUUUGUGUAAAGAAUAAAGUUAC